rnacentral:tRNA from 1 species
GCCGCGGUGGCGGAACCGGCAGACGCGUAGGUCUCAAAAACCUAUGAGGGCAACCUCAUGUGGGUUCAAUUCCCACCCGCGGCA